GAUGAACGCUGGCGGCGUGCCUAAUACAUGCAAGUCGAGCGAACAGACGAGGAGCUUGCUCCUCUGACGUUAGCGGCUGACGUGUGAGUAACACGUGUAUAACCUACCUAUAAUACUGGUAUAACUUCGGGAAACCGUAUCUAAUACCGUAUAAUAUAUUGAACCUCAUUGUUCAAUAGUUAAAUAUGGUUUUUCUGUCUCUUAUAGAUUGUUCCGCGCCGCAUUAGCUAUUUGGUAAGGUAACGGCUUACCAAGGCAACGAUGCGUAGCCGACCUGAGAGGGUGAUCGGCCACACGGGAACUGAGAAACGGACAAGACUACUACGGGAGGAAGCAGUAGGGAAUCUUCCGCAAUGGGCGAAAGCAUGACGGAGCAACGCCGCGUGAGAGAUGAAGGUCUUCGGAUCGUAAAACUCUGUUAUUAGGGAAGAAAAAAUGUGUAAGUAAAUAUGCACGUAUUGACGGUAACUAAUCAGAAAGCAACGGCUAACUACGUG
rnacentral:rRNA from 1 species